CCCCCCGGUUGAUCCUGCCGGAGGCCUUUCAUUUGCUAUUGGAGUCCGGGAUUUAGCCGAUGGGGCUAGUUGCACGGAGGUUCAGGACUCGUAGCAGAUAGCUCAGUAACACGUGGCCAAACUACCCUAUGGAUCCGGAUAACCUCGGGAAACUGAGGCUAAUCCGGAAUACCGUUUCACUUACCUGGAGUGGUGUGAACGCGAAACGUUACGGCGCCUAUAGGAAAGGUGUGGGGCCUGCGGCCGAUUAGGUAGACGGUGGGGUAACGGCCCACCGUGGCCCAUAAUCCGGUACGGGUUGUGAGAGCAAGAGCCCGGAGACCGGUACUCUGAGACCAAGAUACCGGGCCUACGGGGACGCAGCAGGCGCGAAACCUCUACACUGCAACGCGAGUGCGAUAAGGGGACUCCGAGAGCGAG
rnacentral:rRNA from 1 species